rnacentral:rRNA from 1 species
CCUACGGGAGGCUGCAGUAAGGAAUAUUGGUCAAUGGACGCAAGUCUGAACCAGCCAUGCCGCGUGAAGGAUGACGGCCCUCUGGGUUGUAAACUUCUUUUAUCUGGGACGAAAAAAGGGCUUUCUAGCUCGACUGACGGUACCAGAGGAAUAAGCACCGGCUAACUCCGUGCCAGCAGCCGCGGUAAUACGGAGGGUGCAAGCGUUAUCCGGAUUUACUGGGUUUAAAGGGUGCGUAGGUGGGUCUGUAAGUCAGUGGUGAAAUCUCCGAGCUUAACUCGGAAACUGCCAUUGAUACUAUAGAUCUUGAAUUAUCUGGAGGUAAGCGGAAUAUGUCAUGUAGCGGUGAAAUGCUUAGAUAUGACAUAGAACACCAAUUGCGAAGGCAGCUUACUACGGAUCGAUUGACACUGAGGCACGAAAGCGUGGGGAUCAAACAGGAUUAGAUACCCUGGUAGUC